UGGGUUGUGGCUCAGAGGUAGAGCACCCAUCUAGUAUGCGUGAGGCACUGGGUUCCAUCCUCAGCACCACAU
rnacentral:tRNA from 1 species